rnacentral:rRNA from 1 species
UACGUAGGGGGCCAGCGGUUGUCCGGAAUCAUUGGGCGUAAAGCGGCGCAAUAGGCGGCCAGAUAAGUCCGGUGUGAAAGUCAAAGGGCUACAACCUUUGAAUGCCGCUGGAAACUGAUCUGGCUUGAGUCCGGGAGGGGCGAGUGGAAUUCCUGGUGUAGCGGUGAAAUGCGCAGAUAUACAGGAGGAACACCGAUGGCGAAAGCAC